rnacentral:rRNA from 1 species
GAUGAACGCUGGCGGCGUGCCUAAUACAUGCAAGUCGAGCGAAUGGAUUAAGAGCUUGCUCUUAUGAAGUUAGCGGCGGACGGGUGAGUAACACGUGGGUAACCUGCCCAUAAGACUGGGAUAACUCCGGGAAACCGGGGCUAAUACCGGAUAACAUUUUGAACCGCAUGGUUCGAAAUUGAAAGGCGGCUUCGGCUGCCACUUAUGGAUGGACCCGCGUCGCAUUAGCUAGUUGGUGAGGUAACGGCUCACCAAGGGGACGAUUUGUAGCCGACCUGAGAGGGUGAUCGGCCACACUGGGACUGAGACACGGCCCAGACUCCUACGGGAGGCAGCAGUAGGGAAUCUUCCGCAAUGGACGAAAGUCUGACGGAGCAACGCCGCGUGAGUGAUGAAGGCUUUCGGGUCGUAAAACUCUGUUGUUAGGGAAGAACAAGUGCUAGUUGAAUAAGCUGACACCUUGACGGUACCUAACCAGAAAGCCACGGCUAACUACGUGCCAGCCGCCGCGGUAA